GUUAAACAUCAUUUUAUAGUUAUUAUUAAUUGAAUGAUUUGUUCUCUCAAUUUCUCACAAUAAUUCCUUAUAAGUAUAUUUGAAAUGCUUUAAAUUUAAUACAGUUACAUCCAAGAUUGUGUACGAGUUAAGAAUUUCUGAAAGAAUCCCGUUAAACGAAUUCUAAUUCGGAAAUUUCAAUAUUAAAUGGACAAAAUGAUAACUGCUAUUUAAAAAAUAAGACGUUUAAUCGAAAUUUGUUUUUAUAUAAAAGUAUACAAUGAUUUCAAAAUUUGUAUUCACGAAUCUAUAAAGGAAAAUAACUGACAGAUACAAAUUUUUAUGAAACUUUAAAAUUAUUUAUUGGUUUAACCUACAAAUCUUGUUGCAUUUGGUUAAUUAGUUAUUAACUUCAAAGAAAAAAGAAACGAGGAAACCUCAUAGAAUUUAAAACUUGCAUAAUUAACAUUUAUAAGUGGAUGCAGUAAAAAGUAAUUUUUCAUUUAUGCAUAUAAGUAAGUCUUAAAAAAACUUGGAAGUACUAUUGAAAAAAAAGUUAAAGAGCAUUCGCACAUAUACAGCAGAAAAAUUAAAAAAAAAUAAUGAUUGACAAUGAAAUAUCAAUUGAGGAUGUUAUUUGCUUUUGACAUAAUGAAAACGUGUCAAAGUUUGGCAAAACGGGUUUAAAGUGAAAAUCGUAAACCUCAUUUUAAAAUAGGAGAUAGGAGACGAACGUGCCGAUUUCGAUGCAAAAAUUCGUAACAAAUCGUUUAUGUCAAAGUCAAUCAAUUAGAAAGCAACCAAAGAUUGAUUGAUCUCGCUUUAUAACGAACAACACAUAAGAUUCAUGUGAAAAGGAUGAGGAAACCUGGAUAAGAUCAAUGGCCGAGUACAUUCCAAAAUCAUUACGAAUUUCUAUCCCAAAAAUUAUACAGAUAUUUUACACGUAUACAUUUUUGUUUCUUUUUUUUAAUAAUGCUUAUAAACAAAUUUUUAAUAAUUAAAAAUUCAUAAAUUUUUAUUAAUAUAAGUCUUUUUAUGCUGCUUAUUUAAAUUAU